AAUCAACGCUGGCGGCGUGCCUAACACAUGCAAGUCGAACGCGAAAGCCCCUUCGGGGGCAAGUAGAGUGGCGUCCGGGUGAGUAACACGUGGGUAAUCUACCUCCGGGUGGGGAAUAACUCGCCGAAAGGCGGGCUAAUACCGCAUAAUGCAGCGGCACCGAAUGGUGAUUAGUUGUUAAAGCGGGGGACCUUAGGGCCUCGCGUCUGGAGAGGAGCCUGCGGCAGAUUAGCUAGUUGGUAGGGAAUGGCCUACCAAGGCGACGAUCGGUAGCUGGUCUGAGAGGACGACCAGCCACACUGGGACUGAGACACGGCCCAGACUCCUACGGGAGGCAGCAGUGGGGAAUAUUGGACAAUGGGCGCAAGCCUGAUCCAGCGAUGCCGCGUGUGUGAAGAAGGCCUGCGGGUUGUAAAGCACUUUCAGUAGGGAAGAAAGCCGAGUGCUAAUAUCACUCGGUCUUGACGUUACUUACAGAAGAAGCACCGGCUAACUCCGU
rnacentral:rRNA from 1 species